ensembl:lncRNA
GAAAUGGAAGAGAUAUCCGACUGGCCUGUUUGUGGGUUGCCGUUUUCUAGCCGUUGUUUGAAUGUUCACUGUCACAACUCCAACCGCGUUUAUUAUUUUACCUCAAAUGACCACUGAAAACAUGAAGACGUGCACAAAUUGUUGACUGAACAUAGCAUGUAUAACAAAAGUCUAGCAUCCUGAUUUUGAGAGUGUUUAUAGAGCAUGACCUUGCAGGCCUCGCACUCAUCUCGGUCCAAAUGUGGUCGCUCCGCGGUGCCAGCAUCUGUCUCUUUCUGACUGUUUCUCUCCUCGCCACAGCUGGCUAACAAACCCUUCAAAAAAAAAGAGAAACACAUCCAAAUUAAAAAUCUCUGUCCUGACCGAUGUUAUUACAAUCUUUAACAUGCCAGUAAACAUGGAUGAAGGAGAGCGGUAAUGCGACCUGCAUGUGGAUUUAAGCGGCCCUGUGAAGGCUGCUGGGUGGCUCGUUCCUCGGUGCCGGGAGACCGAGCCUCAACAUUGGGCCUCUGAUCUCUUUCUCUUACUCUCCUUCGUUCUUCUCUGCUAUAGCAAAUCCUUUCAUUUCCUCUCUGGAAAAUCUGUUCUUCAUAAUAUCACACAGAGAGCUGGAGUGGGAAGGUGGGAAGACGCCAAGGACAGGCAGAGAGAGGGAGUAAAAUUUAUGACAUUUUUCAGACUUGUAUCCAACUAUGUUUCCAUUCCAUGUGGACGUGGCUGUCUUCCAAUGAUGAGCACGGGCUGUGUGCGCUGGUCAAGGAUAUAAGUGAAGGUCCGCUGUCGUGCUGUUGAUGGGGCAAUGCAGAAUAGUCUAGGCAAAGAUGGGAUUAUACAGAAGCUGCAGCGUGGAUGAGCUUUGUACUGCACCACAAGGAGCCCAAUGGACCAAAUGAGACAUCGUGUUCUUGAAUCUAAACAUUCCAGGAUCCAGGCAUGAUGUGGUACAUCUGAAAAAGUCAUGCAGUAUCGCAAAACAUUUUUAUGUAAAGGGAAGGAAGAGUCAGAACUGAAUCCUUAUAGUCUCCAUAGCUAAAUGACUGAAUGAUUAUUUUGUCAGUUCGUGUUUUUAUAACUGUGCCAAAAGUGAUCAGUUCAAGUAUUUAUGUGGAUGAUAUGUGAUAGAAGGUUUGCUUGUGUUGUAGUAGUUAAAAUGACUUGCUUUGGGUUGGGGAACACGGUGGUUAUGGUAAAUGAAAACCCAGCUUACAGUUGGAAAGAGGCAGGAUGCAAAUUGCUUCCUCUGAUGUUGAUGUUGCAUGCAUUAUUUAGCCAGUAUUUCAUCCGCAGACCAUCUGUACAGAUGUUAUGCCACCAUAACCAUCUACUCUCUGGUCGGGGUUAUCAUUUGCACAACAACAAGAGAAAAACAUCAUUUAUUUUAUAAGGCAGCUGAUCAUUUCUUUUAAGGUCACUUACAAUAGCAAACGAAAAAUAAGAUGUUACCAUAUAAAGUUUUUGUGGCAAACAAAACCCAUCGAGAAGACACUUUAUACAUUACAUUAUACAUUAUACAUAAUUUGUUCCCUUUGGUUUUGGUCUCCAACAACUAAAAACACGGCCACUGGGCUCCUCAAUGCUACAUUAUGUUCCAUAGCUGGGCAGGUAGCAUUCAAUAUGUUUAUUGGGGCUCUCUUUCAAUCACUUUGUAAUCAGUUGAUAUGUAGCUUACACGCCAUGUUAACCUAAAAACAGAACAGUGCCCUAAUGAUGACUUAAAAUAAUUACUAGCUACACACAAGCAUAGUCAAACACCAAAAAACAGACUAAAAUCCAGUGCAAAAACCCCCAAAUGUUACAAAUGUUAAGAUCAAAUGUUUCUGUGAACCAUAAUUAUAUAUAACACAAGGGCUAAAUAUACAGACAGUGAGCGACAAAAUAGGUUUACGUUGUGGUAAAAUAGUUUUAACUAAAAACAGUACAUGAGACAGUGAGAGAUGAAUCCAAACAUGCAAUAAAAAACCAAACCAAUGAGCUGGAAGAUGCUGCAGCAUCCAUCCAGCUUCGCGUAGCGGUUACAGUGAGUCGUGUGACCCAUUGAUCACAUAACGACAGCGUUUAAUACAGCCUCAAACAUUGGCUAAACAACACAGGCAGGUGAACUCCAUGUGAGGUCGGCUCGUUUGGUACUUGAAGGAGGAAAAGCACGCUGAAGAGAACGUAUCCGCUGAAAGAGGAAGCCAGGAUUAACGAUGAAAUGAAUGACAAGCUUCAUGAUGGCAGGAGGCAGCAGCAGGUCCGUAUAGAGACCAGCAUUCAGCUUGACCCACACUGAUCUCUGCUGUCUAUUGCACUCAGAGCCAAAGAAAGCUGAUAGACUUUCAAAAAACACAUCACUUGUCAAAAGGAGCUGUCAGACACUAAGGUAGCAAGGCACUUCAAUUAGAAGAUACCAAAGUAAGCCCCCUUAUCCUGGAUGUGACGUUUCUGUUGAUCUGGCAUUUUCCUUCGGAAAGAGCACAAAGCCAAGAGACACGAGACAACAAGAAAACAAACUGGAAAAGGGAGAUAUAUAAGGGGGGGUUAAAUAUUUAUUUUUUCAAACUCUUACCUGCUGUAGUCUACAAACCAUUGCAGUAGCACUUACUUGCCAUCCAAUUUCCAAAGCAUCCCCGGAGCUCUGGCUGGAUAUCCGACUUUUUUUGGCGGGCCGUUUGUUUGACUUUGUGCCAGCGGAGAAUAUCAACUUUCAUAGACUUAGAAUGUACUUAAAGUAAGUAAUCUAUCACGGUGAAUGUAUACAUAAUACUGGCAUUUCAAAAUGAAUCAAAGUUAACUGUUCAUUGUGAAGGAUCAAGCCUACUUGAUUCAAGUUUCCAGAAGGUGCUCGCUGAAUGUAGAAAUAAAUAGUAUGUUUGAAAAAUGGUCAUUCAAAGGCUAUGUAGGUUGUGGCUACGAGGUAAACACGUGGAUACCUACUGCAUUGAUCAUUCAAACAACACAACCAUUCGGGAUAAAGGACAAAAACUACUAAAUAAGCAAAUGUUACGGAUUCAUUUUAUUGUUCAAGACCAAAUUUUUUCUUUUUUUUUCCGUUCCUCCUCCUGAAUACCCUUCAUCCAAUGUUGUAUCCGAGCAUCUUCCUUUACCCUCCUUUCAUUUCCCUCACGUAUUUCCAAUGCUUUCAUACACGCUGCCUUUCCACUUUAUCUUUAGCUUCUGUCCUUUGUCUUUUUAAUCCGGUUGCAGUCUUCCUAACAAGUCUCUGCUCUCCUCUCCUCUCCCUGGAGUUCAGUGUUGAGAGCGCAACGGAAGAAUUUGUUUUGCUGCCUCUCAUCUGAUUAGUGUUGAUUUUUCUGCCGCAGUUCAGCAGAGUGAAUGAACUUCUUUUAACUGUUUAUCAGAGGCGCAUUUACGCUGCAUCACUUGGCGGCCCAGCGGUUUGUUACCUGCCAUUUACUAUGAAAUGAAAAUCGAUGGACGCUGCAAUGUGAUUUUAUGGCCCGCCGUUAUUGAGAGCAAUGAUGAUUUCCUGCUAAACAGGAUAUGGAACGUCAGUCCCCUCGGUGUUCCGCUUCGGCAACGGAAAGUGCUCAUAUAAAAAGCUGGUGGAGUAGUUUUAAAAUUUGCUGGGAUUGCUCCGACUGACAUUUGUAUCAAGGAAAUCUCUCAACCUUGCAAACGCUUUUUGUUCUCGAUGUAGGUGUCUGGAUCGAUGGCCAGCAAGCGUGAGUUCACUGUAAAAUCCUAAUAUCUGUUGCAGCAGCUUGAAUCUAACGUCCUGUGGUGUCUGUGCUGCGCUCAUAACUCCCCUCACACUCUGUCAUUUACCAAACUACAAGGGAUUCUUUGCUGCCCACAAUAAAAACAGUAGUUAACUUGAAGCCUCUCCACUGGAGAGGAGUUCUGCGCCAGACAAUGAUGACACAUUGUCUUGUCAGGGCAGUAAUGACUGAGAUUUACACUCUAUUAUUAGAGCUGGGCCCCUUCGAGCUGCCCUCAGAGACCCCUUCCUCUCUCCCGCGGAUCCAGCAAGAGAGGCAGAGCACAGAUCACAGCUAAUGCACUGAGUCACUGACCACAAAAUAGCACGCCGAUAAGAGGUAAAAUAACAGUGUUUGCCUCCGAGAGUGUGCAUCACUGUGACUAAGUGUCUCCAUUCCACCGCUUGUUUUUUUUUUUUAGAGGGAAAACUUCAAAUAACAGAUUACAGACUAGAAGGAAUCCUUGAUCACGUGAGUGUGCAGAGAUAGCAGCAGACGAGACGUCCCAGUCUCUCUGCAUGGUGACCCCGUUAACCGCCGAAUUAGAACGCUCUCAGCGGAUCGGCAGCGGGACGAGGAGAAGUAAAGAGGAGCGUGCCAGCAGAGUUUGGUCAGCACAGUGCAUGUUCCAACACCGUCAUUUAUUUACAAAACAACUACCAGGUUACCAUGCAAUCACCACUAUUCUUUAAAAAGAGGCAGACGGGCAGCUCGUAAGAGGCUAGAAAAAGGUCGGCAGGGUGAGGGCCGUGCUAAACAUACAAAUGUAUCUCUUGCGUGAACAACCCACAGGUCGGCUGUUCAUGUUGGUUGGUAUUGGUAUGAAGCUUAGGCGAAAAUUCAGUCAGGAAGACUGGACAGGCUGUGCCGUUUCCUGGUGGCCUUCUCUCUCCCUGGGGGUGCACGGCCAGCUGAUUAGGGGCGGGGUCGGGUAGUAGCAGACGUGGGUGUCGUAACCGUAAACCAAUCGCAUUGGUGCAGGCAAACGUUAAAAACUGUUCUCCUCUCUUUUGCUGUCAGUUGUCAUUUCAGCACGCUCCAAAGGUGACCCGCCACCACCCCGGACACCUCCAAUCUACAGCAGGACCUGGCAUAUCAGGAGAGUUAUGCAACUUGGGCUCUACCACCACCACCAGUGACUGGACUCCCAAAGGGGGGGGAUAUGCCUCGUCUCGGCUCGAGAUCCCGGCCCCGGGUCUAUCCUGCGGCAGGAUGGUCCAAGCCCCAAACAACUUGCAAUAUCUUAUUAUGCCUGUUAUAAUAAAGCAUGGUUGAAAUAGUUCAACAAGUCUCUCCGGAUUGAAUUACACAUAUUACCACAGGUGAUAAGCAUCAGCAGUGGGAGCUCCGGUUCACGGUCCAGCAGCUUUAAGGCAACUUGGACCCACAGUGUCCACAUCUCUUGCUUGCAUUAGUCAGUUGUCUUUGUAUGUGAUUCGUCUUUGUUUUACGUCUUUGCAUGAUGUCUUUUCCAUAAGAGAAAGAAAGUAAAUCCAUGCGAGACACUUCGCCGCCUCCAGACCGGAAAAACGCAGGGAGGUGACACCAAGUGUCCGUUGAACAUCUCUUGAGCCUCCAAUCUCGCCUCGUUGGCGACCCCAAAUACAACACGAGAGAGAGAGAGAGUUGGAUUCCCCAAACGUUGCACACACCCUUGAAGAGUUGGUGGGGUGUCGGGCGCUGUUGCCAAAGGAGGAGAAAACGGGGGGCAGAGGGAUGUGCAGGGUGAGCGGCGUAGAGGGAAAGGGUCCACUUCCUCAGCAGGAGGUUCAGAGCAGCCCGGCAAUGUCGCCAUGUCAUCGCCAUGGGAACACAGAGCCCCUGGACUCUUUGGGACUAAUAGGCAGUUGUCAAAGCAAUGAUAAGAUAAAUGCUGCGUUUGAUGGAAACGUGAAGCGAUGGGCCUGAUAGGCACCAAGAAGCCAAGACAAUAAGCAGAUAGCUGCCGAGAGGGGAGAAUCGGAGCGGUGGGGAGGGCGGCUGCGAGGCAGGGGGCAGAAAAUGUGAGGGUGGUAGAGUGGGGAGAAAGGGGCGAGGGGUGAAAACAGAGGAUGGACUCCCAACGGAGAGGCAAUGUCCAACGUCUCCUUCUCCCUCUGCCUCCGUCCAGGGUCUCUCUUUGUCUGCCGGGCUUGUCGGCUUUUUUUUAUUCCCCGCCUGAUUUCUGCCUCAUUCCCCCUCUCGCUAUGUGACCUGCACACUAACACUUGACUGUAGAAACAAUCUAAACCUGCUGCCAUGGGUGUGUGAUAAGUUCAAACACAUAUACACACAGACACACACACCCCCCCACACACACACAUAUGUGUAGAGGGGAGGGGGUAUGUGCUUAUCUAAUGUUGAGGAUUGAAUUCAGUUAGCCCCAGUGGGAUUGGGUUAGGAGAUGUCAGAAAGAUAGAUGGGCAUCAUGCUACGCCCCCCCCCCCACCCACCCUCCAACCUCCCAAAUUGUUUUGCAUGUGUGUUAGUGUGUUUACUAUACAUGUGUGCCCGCAUAAUGCGUCGCAUCCGCCUACAUGUGAGUCCAAAACAUUCUAAAUCGGUAAAAUUGGUUCUAAAAUCUGCACAAAGGAAAAAGUUAAUAUGAAAAACAUUGGUGUGAGAUGAUUGUCUCGUCUUAGCUCUUGCAUAAAUACCAGUCAUGUUAUAUUACGUUGCACGUUCAGAAGCGUACAUAGCAUGCAUUAUGACCGGAGAUGGGGACUUUCUUCUCCGUGCAUGGAAGUCUGAUGCGACUCCGGAACUCCAGGAGUUGUUGAGCCCGUCUCACUCAUCUCCGUCCUGGAGGAGAGACUUUCCGUUUAUCCCACGGAUCUCCUCGCCUGAUCAAAACCACGGACACCUACAGCUGUAUAUGAAUGUUGGGUCACAGUUAUAAAAAAAAAGCAGGAUGAGAGGAAGAAAGACGACACCCCGACAGUUGGCUGCGUGAACGUGUUUGCAGCCGAACCACCAGCCUUUGGCCUCUGACGGGCUUCUUCUGUCAGUGUUGUGGUCGCGUAUUGAUUUGCCAAUAGUUGUAAAACAGUGCAGUCGGAUUUCACUCUCCCCCUGUUUUCCUUCAGCUUCUCGUUUGUAUGCUGGCAUACAUGCACACAUGCACAGUUCAUCUGAUACAGAUCAAAACAUCGUUUUAACUCUGAACCCGAUCACAGUCCGAGUUAAAAAAGAUUCCUAUCCUAUAAAGCUCCACAGAUUGUGUGUUUCUUCUGUCUUUCUUUGUCGCACAAAUGCAUUCACACACACACUAUAUGGGUGUGUAUGAUCUUUUCUCCAGAGAGUCUGAUGCCCUGCAGUAAUAGCUAGCCAUACCUGACCAUAGCUGGCUGCUCAUGGCCUCAGGCUACUGCUUAGCAAUUCCAUUCUGAAUACAAUGGGCUGCAGGCUCGCACACACACACACACACACACACACACACACACACACACACACACACACACACACACACACACACACACACACACACACUCAAAAACAGAAACCCAUAUACAUCCAACGGACCUCUUUCAAAGCUACUGUCCAGUAAUGAAUUUCCAGGCCUUGAAAAGCUCCUUCUGAUAUACUUCAAACAGGUACUAACCAAAAAUAGAGAGACUGUGCCUUCAUCCUGCCCUACCUCCACCUUCUGCGUCUGCAUCGCCUUGUGAAACCCCGACAAAGUGCAUGUAUGGACCAGGACCCCCAAAAUCAGCAGCCUAUAUAUCCUUUAAAUCACUUUUAAGAGCACGAAAGCCUGAAUGUUCUUUUGUGGGCCGCAAAGGUUCAUAAAUGACUUUCUGCAAUGUAGAAAUGUAAUGUACGUCCUCAUAUUGCUUCCUUCUUCCUGUCCCACGCUUUGGGAGUUAUUUAUUUUUACUUAUUGUUUUAUUGUUAUUGUUUGACAUUGGCUAGUCCUGCAAAGAAGCAAGUCACAGGAAGAACACGAUCCACAUAUGAAGACAUGCCAAUCACAGGCUCGGGGAAGAGGGAGGACGAACAAGGUGCUGCAGCAACCUCUCCAACCUGCAUUUGACAGAAUACAUUUCUGUCACACUCGCUUGAAAGAGGAGACUCACACAGACACAUAAACACUGAUACACACAUGCCAGUGCAGGAAGUAGUGUAGUGCAUGAAGCCAGUUGGAACGUAAAAGGGACGGGCCUAACCUUAACUAUGGCAGUUAAUGCACCACAACUACUAUACAACAGUCUUGUCUGGAACAAAGGUACUUAGCUAGCUUAGCACAAAGACCAACAGCAGGAAGAGGCAGGUGCCCUUGUUCUGUUCAAAGAUGAAGAAAAGAAACGAGGACCGGGUGUUGUAGAGUAAAUAUAAAACCCUGACUUCCUGCUGUCUCCUCCAUUAUGGCAGCAGCCCUGGAAACUUAAUCUGCCGGAGCACUACAGCUGCCUGCCAGCCCACUUCACGACUGGCUCCCUUUACCCCCCCUGCGCUUCUUUCCUCCAACUGCUUCCUCUCCCUCGCUCAGCAUCCCCCUUCCCUCACGCUCCCUCACUUGUCACCAGUUUUUUUCCAGCAUAUCAUUAGUCUUUGCGCGCAUGCGCACAGACUGCUUUGGUUUCUUUUUGGAAUCUCUUAGUUGGGAGGAAAUGACAGGACGGAAGGAAAUAGUGAGACAGACUCAGGAGACGUGGGACAGGGGCGAAGGACGGGACGGAGAGAGAUGGACAUUGACGGUACGGCCCGCUGCGGGCGGCAGCCAUAUUUAUCUUCUGUUUAACGUGUGGUGGCCUCAACACAAUUCCUCCUUUUUUCUUUUUUUUUUACCGUGACCUUGUGCAUGGAGGGUAUUUUCCAGUCAGCAGAACGCUUUAUCUCUGAGCGUAACAAUCAAUAAGGAUAAUUAAUGAUGCCCGCCGCAAUGAUAGCCUCAGCAGUCAUUACCAGGCAUUAAUCCAUGCAGUCAGAGGAGGGUCAAGGCCGGCCGCAUCGCUCACUUAGGGGCGGGGCGCAAAUUAAAAUAGUCCACACACUGGUCGCUCUGCCAGGCCUUUUCUGAUGCAUUCACCUCCGUUGGACCAUAAUUAAAGAUGGCCCAUUGCUAGGUGGUGGGGCGCCAGGGUGACAAUCCACUGCCAUGUCUCUUUAAUAUACAACACUUAGCCCAGAGGAUGACACUAACAGCAAUCUGCAGGAACUCAUCUCACCUGCAAGCGUGGGAGGGGGGGGAUUUCGUUUUGUUUUUUUCCUUCUCUAGAUAUGCUGGGACAUAAAUCAAACGCACAACAUGCAAUUUUCUAAUAACGCAGCGCCAUCAGAAAUGUGAUUUAGCGGUAAAUAUAAUUUGGUCUCGGUGUGAGACGUAUCAAGUGGAUGUAUUAUCUUUGCAGUAAUGCUGUGCUUAGAGAAUUACAUUUCACAAAGACAUGAUGUCUUUAUGAGAGAUUCAACAGUUUGCCAUGAAAAUACAUACGUUGAGCCGUAAGUUGCAGAGUCCCACCACUGGAGAGAAACACAAAUUGGAUGUAAACAUGUAAUGAUAACUGCAUCUCACUUUCAUCUGAUCUUUUAUUCCAUUCCACAGAAACACAACCCAGAAACACAGUGUUAUCCUGUCUUCUGCUUUGUCUCCUUCUGAUUGGUUUCAGCAGCCCGUCAGAGGGAGGGAGGGGUGGAUCCUCCGAGUGCCCACCUUGUUGUCAAGGACAGUUACAUUCGCAGUUUAAAGUUUGGAGGAGAAAUUCAGCUUGAUUCCAUAAUUCAUGGCUGACAUUUUCAUUGUACUUAAACUUUAGGGGAAAAAUUGGAAAUGUGAGAUUUAAUUUCCUGUAAUGUUUAAAUUACUUUCUGCUUGGCCGGUGUCCAAGCACAAGGAAGCGCCGAGGGGCAGAAACGAGAUGUUUAAGCAGAGGUUGCUCUCGCUGCCAGCGGAGAAGUGGAGAGAAUCCAUAAUAAUGAAAAAUGCAUUUAUCCUCAGCUGCCAUCCCUCCUUUCUCUCCCCUCUGAAAAACAAAACAUUGCAAUGAAAAUGCAUGUGUGUUAGUGAGCCAGAAUGCAAUAUGUGUCACUUUCAACAUGCAGUGAAAAAGAACUACAUAAAAAUAAAUAAAGAAGCCUAGAGGCUGUCGAGCGGGAACUCAUCCUGAACAAUGAGGAAAGUCAAACGGAAGCAUGAAGAAGGGCGCCUGAUGGUGAUUGACAAGCUUUGGUUAUUUCUCACUCCCACGCAUGAUUACGCCGUCUUCAUCUGUCCUCCAGUAACUCUCUCACCUUCAGCUCUGUUUGGUUAAAGUGAAGAGGCGUGCGGGGCGCAGCACAAGGCGCUCAACUGAUUUCUAUGAAGUCGUUCUCACCAAGUUAACUUCUCUUUCCGCCGCGUUAAAUGUUCAUGUUAUUAGUUUUAUUGCUGGUCAGAACACAGUGGGGCAUUAUGUGUGAACUCCAAUUGCUGCCAAAUGAGAAAUACGCAGCAUCUACUGCUAGGAGCAGAUUCAUUUCAAUACAUGCAAGUAAAAUCUAGAAAUAUCCCCUUUCAGGCCAUGAUGUGCUUCCAGGUCUCCUCUGUAAGGAUUUCUCCUGAUUCAUGUUGGUGAAACCACCAGAGGAAAUGAAUGUUUUAUACGGCUACGUGGAGUAAACACUGCCAGCAGACUUCUCGAACAUGGCAGUCAUGUUGAACACAGCCGGCACUCUUGUCACUGUGACGUUUUCUUUUUUUUUUUUUGCUUACUUUCACAUCACUGGUGAUUUAGACUAACAAAUCAAACAUAAGAAGAGGCAUAAAUCUCUCACAGGCAGCCUGUAUACACCGUCUCUAAGUCUCAUUUUCCCCUUUAUUGUAACAGUAGAAACUGCAGUCCCAAAUGAAUUGAUCAGUGAUUCAAUAUUGCAGCAGGUCCUUUAAAACACCCUUAAGUUUUCAUGUAUGAUUGAUCAUCAGUGAAUUCUCUGCAUGUUAAAUUAGUUUGUUUUUCUCUGGGUUGAUUGUGCACUGCGAACCGUAUUUUCCCCAUUUUCUUUCCCUAUUUCCUGUCCAAUAAGGUAAUGGAGAAUUACAGAGAUUACUGAUACGCAUACAACAGACUGUCAAUCAUUUGAAAUUAAUUCUGUAAAGGCUCUGAUGAUUGUUAGAUUGCGUAUCUUCAGACAUAAACGGUCAUUAGGCAGCGAAAGGGGGUUGUUUAUAGAAAAAUGAUUUCUUCAGCUGAGUGCAUUUGAAACCAAAAAUAGUGAGUUCAUGUUUUCUGAUUAUUUAGUAAUUAACAAAGCAGUUUUCUGUGCUGAAUUUGGUGAGGAAUUUCACGCGGGGGUUGAUUUUGCAAAGCAUAGUUCCAGAUAAUCAUUUGUUUGUCUGUGUGCAUUCACCUGCAUUUUUCUGUGCACACCUUGGUCUUGUCAUCAGGUUAGCAGGAAGGAUUCCUGAUAUCGCUGAAACCUGCCAGCCGGUUAAUUAGAGCCGGCAUCCAGCCGCCCCUGGCUUCAUUUGACUAUCAGCCACAAAGCCACUUACUCUAUAAUUUCCUGCCCGAAUUGGAGGGCUUUACCAUCGCUCACAUAGGCAGAUCGGAAGUUUCCCUUCAUCUGCGACAUAAAGCCAGAAAGCUGCACCUAAACUAUGCAGACCCACCGUCGGAAUGCAUAUACUUUAUGAUUAGAAGGCCGAGGGUGGGAAGUUGAGACACAGGCGAGCUUCAAACCCGCAGCAGACAACAGAGAGAGUUGUUUGGCUGUCUGCGUGUGUCACUGUAAAAGGAGCUGAGAGGGCUUUCUAGUCUCAAGUUUUUCAAGCUGCAAAUCUGUGUCUGCUUGUUUGUAUAUUUCAUAUGGGUGAUUACAAAUUGUGUGUGUGUGUGCGUGCCCUUGUGUGACUGCGUGUACACGCUGUCUUCCAAUGUGUCACGCUGCCUUUUAACUUUUUAUGGUUUUCUCUUCAUUAAUUGAAAACAUGACGGGGUGCUCUCGGGCCUGAUGGAUGGAGCAGGAGAAUUGAGGAAGCCAUUAGCUUUCCUGGAAUCACAGCCUGUCAAGCAGUCAAUACACACUGCUUUAUGUGUCUCCAAGCAAAGAUGGAACAAUUAUCCCUUUUAUUAGGCGGCCACGGCGCGCACGCUCUCACGCGCGGGUGUGCGCACACACAGGCGGCGCGUGGCGGGCGAGAGGAGGGCAGCAAUAACGAUCAGCUAAAAUCAGUCAUUCAUUACUGUCAAGUGCACCUGACUAUCAGCUUAUUAAAAACAGGCAUAAUAGGAGGAAAGGGACCAAAAAAAAGAAGAAAAAAAACUUAAUUAGUUUACUGUAGGUUAUUGAAGUUAAAGUUGGGCAGAUUUUGUAGUAAUGGUUGAAAGAAGUAAACCUUGUAGGAACCAACCCGUCUCCUCCUCCUCAGAGGUUUUGUAACCACUCUUAUGUCUUUGAGGAAAACAAAUGCAGAUUGAAACAUACAUUAUAUAACUGUGGUGCUCUUAUUCAUGUUGAAUCAGUUGUCUACCGCCUGCAUGCAGUAUUCCUCUUUCAUAUAGUUUGCAUCUGAUGAAUGAAAGGCGAUUGGGCCCACUAAGCAUACAUCUUGUGAUUAAAAUUAGAUCUAUGUAGAAGCAUGUUACAUUGAUGUUCUCAACUGACUGCCACAUUAGGGACGACUGGUUAGAUGCUGAUAGAGAAAGCCGGCAGCCUGGUGUGAGGAAGGCAGAAGACAGUACAGCAGGACUGUAUUGUAUCACCAUCAAAGCCUUCAGCCUCGAAGAAUGUCAUUAUCUCUCUACUAGCAUCUACGUCCAGAUGGCCCCCAACCUGCUGCUCCCACCACCACGAAUAUGCCGUGUUUGUGUGUAUGGAGAUUCUUACACUGCAAGGGGCUCGUGUGUAUGCAUAGCGGUUAUUUAAUCCUCCGUAACAGAAAUAGGGGUUCAAUUAGAUUGUCUGCCAGAGAUACAGAGCAGCCAUAGCAUGAUUCAUAGAAGAAGGCUUUGAUGUUACACCCAGUCUGGCAUUAUAACACUUGGUCGUCUGGCCUUGAAAAUAAUUUUACUAUUUUAAUACAAACUUGCAAAGGUUACCAAGGCCGUGCUUAUGGCUGCCUCUCUGACAUCUAACCCUUGAUGAGCCCAAGCAGAGCUCUAGAUCUUCGGGCAGGGACAAGUCAAAGAGGCCUCACCUCUGCCAGUCCAUUUAAAAAAGAAAGUCUCUUUCAUUUCCUUUUGCAUGUUUAUUUCAUUUUCUUCCUUUUGAUUUCAUCAAAACACUUAUCCCCACAGUAACAAUACGAUGAGAAAUAUGGGCUGACUUGGACACGGUGCGUUUUUAAAGCGGCUGUGGCUGCACAAGCGGUGAGAGAUUAAGUUAGCAAAAGACAGUCGAUGAUGAAGGAGACACCGCGGGACACAGGGUGUAAUUUGGGCAUCCUCUUGUGGGUGAGGUGCCGCCGAGAGACACUGCGGAGAAGUGAGGGUGAGGCGGCGGGCCUGCUCGUGACUGAAAGGUCUGACUGAGACGGAGUGGGAGGGGGUGAGUCGGGCAGCAGGUGAGCGUGAGCAACCUGGGGGGAUUCAUCCGUCCUGGGUUCAGACAGGGCCUCAUUAGUGAGCAGUGAAUUACACUCCAGACACGUCUUUAUGUAGACUAAUCAUAUUACAGCCAGCGCGCUCAGCUUUACCCCGGGGGGGGAGGCGGGGAGGGGGGGAGAGGGAGAGAGAAAGAGAGAGAGAGACGCAGCAGCGAUGGAGGUUGGAGAACUUUAACACCUGAUUUGUCCGGGAGAACUCAAUGUCGUCUACAGCACCUCUGGCUGCAACUGUUUCAUCUCCCUGUCCGGCUGCGUGCUCUGCGUGACUCCGCCCCUGCUGACCGGCUCGCUCCGCCUCCCUCAUCUACCUCCUCUGGCGGACAUCCACCUGGCCAACUCUUUCUCAUCUCUUCUUCUUGCUUGUUUUCUGUACACCUUGCUGCCUCCCUCUCUCCCUCUCUCUCUCUCUCUCUCUCUCUCUCUCUCUCUCUCUCUCUGCACCCACCCACACUCUCCCUUCAAGCGAGUGCAUCCCUGCCCCCAUGUUGUCAGUUCUGACAAGCUGCUUUAAUGGGCGAUGUGGCGCGUGCCUCUGACCACUGAGCACAGUCAUUAACCUUCACUGGCAUAAUUGAAUUCAAGGUUGAUUGCUCGUGACCCUCCCCCCUGCCAAGGUCCCUCUCAAUGUACAUAUUCAUUACGGGGCCCCGGCUCUAAAUGGAUUGCACAGGGGAAGCUGUAGCAAUCAUCCGGGCCGCUCGAAGGGGGCAGCAGGCACACUGCUAGUGGGGGGGAGGGAGGGUGGGGGCACGAGGAGACCGAGGACGGAGUGAUGGGUGGAGGGAAAGAAGGGGAGGGGCACUAAUUGCAUGCUAGGGGAAGAGGAUCAGAUUAUGAAAAGAGUGAGAGAAUGAAGAUGGAUCCCUGUGACACUGUCAAAUUAAGGGCAGGCCUUGUAACACAGCAAGACACUGAAAUGUACAGUGGCACCCGCUACACUGGAGGAAAAGGGGAGACUGGGGGAGGGAAAGGGUGAGGGAAAGGGAGAGCGAGAGAUGGAGGGGGUAAAGAGAUGAGAGGGAGGACACUGAGGCUCAGAGAGAAUUGAAUGUUGAUGAAUGAAGUAAUGUAGACGCACACACACGCGCGCACGCACAUGCUCAGGCUGGUUUCAGUGUGAAGGGGGGCAUAUAUCACAUCACCCCAGAACCCCCAUAACAACCC